UGUGUAGUAAACAGCACUGGCCUGUCUCAAAUAACUACAUGCAACAUGAUACACAAAACAUAAUUUGUUUAAGCCUUGCUGUGCUAUAUUGAUGGACUACUUGGGACUUAGGAUUCAGAAGCACAGGUCGGGUCAGCACCAGCCAGCUUCCAGCACAACAUGGCAUUUACCUCCAUCGCACAGAGCUACGCCCUGAAGCACAGGCUGCACACGUCUUUUUUGUUUGCGUUAUCAGUGCAUAUUCACCCUCCAGCCUGGGCAGUGUUGCUGAUACGUGGAAAAUUCCGGAAUUAGAAUUCAAGAGAGAUAGAAGACAACUUGAAAAAAAAUGGUUUGAUUACUUGGUUGCCAUCCACAACGUGGAUGACCAGUGCAGUAGCGUGAUGCUUGGAAUAAACACACACACACACACACACACCAGCUCACUCACACACACACACACACACACA